rnacentral:lncRNA from 1 species
GUUUAUCUAUACAAAAAUAGGAUAAUAAUAUAAUUUUUAAAUAUUAAUAAUAAUCUUAUAAAAAUAAUUUGAUCUGCAUAAUGAGGAAAUCCUAAAAAUCCCAAAUCUUCUCUUUCCUUACAAAUUAUUCUCACAAUGCCCUCAUCUCCCUUCUUUAAUCUCCGGAUAACCCUUCAUUCAUCGAUGCUUCAAAGCAUGACACUGUGCACAGCGUGCAGUGGUGUCUCGCCCGACAUCGCUACGGCGCUCAUUGUGUUCAGUGUUACGCCAUCGUGCGCUCAUUGUCUAUUCAGCCCGAAGCGGCACUCAUUGUCAAUUCAGCCACACUGUACGUUGUGUUCGAGAUCUGUUGUGCACUGUGGUCAGGAUCUGCAACUCCACGAUCUAAUGUGGGUUUUUGGGUAUGUUUUCAGUUGGUGGGUGGGGAAUGUGGUGUUGGUGUUUGGAUGGCAGUGGUUUUGUUGGAUCCAACGGCAGCUCAUGUAUGUUAGAUCUAGCGGCGAUGGUGGUGGUGAUGGUGGCCGUCGUGUUUGAGAUAAUGAUUUUGUUGUUGGGAGGUAGUGGUGAUUCUGCCGAUGGUGAUUAGGUUGGUUGCGUGGUGAGGUGGUGGUCAUAAGUGUUGGUAGUGGUUACAAAUGAUUUGGUUCAUUUUGACCAAUAAGUUGGUCAAUGUGUGACCAAUGAAAUAGAUAAAUUGUGAUCAAUAAAUAAUAUAUGACCUAAAAAUUUGUUAAUUUGUCAUCAAUAAUUUGAUAAUUUGUGGCAAAUUAAUUCGAUAUAUUUGUGAUUAUGAAAUAAGUUGUGAC